rnacentral:lncRNA from 1 species
CCUCGACCAUCUGAGCUUACACAGUACUGUCCGGACUCCUCCAACGGUCGACCUUCCAUAGUGUCCUCCAGAUUCCUCCAACGGACGAACUCCUAUCGUGUCAUCUGGACUUCUCCAAUCAUUAGCUCCUUCAUUCAUCUACCGGACUGCUCCAAAUGUUCUCUGGGCUUCACUAUCAGUCGAUUUUCUACAGUCAUCGACUACUCUCCGAAUCCCUUGCAGACUUCUUCCUGCCACGAUCGACUUUACUCCGAACUUCUUUCGGACUUCGUCAAUGUCCGAGCUUCUCCAGCAGCAGG